AACGAACGCUGGCGGCAGGCCUAACACAUGCAAGUCGAGCGGACCCUUCGGGGUUAGCGGCGGACGGGGGGGUAACGCGUGGGAAUAUGCCCUUCUCUACGGAAUAGUCCUGGGAAACUGGGGUUAAUACCGUAUACGCCCUUUGGGGGAAAGAUUUAUCGGGGAAGGAUUAGCGCGCGUUGGAUUAGGUAGUUGGUGGGGUAAUGGCCUACCAAGCCGACGAUCCAUAGCUGGUUUGAGAGGAUGAUCAGCCACACUGGGAAUGAGACACGGCCCAGACUCCUACGGGAGGGAGCAGUGGGGAAUAUUAGACACUGGGGGCAACCCUGAUCUAGCCAUGCCGGGUGAGUGAUGAAGGCCUUAGGGUUGUAAAGCUCUUUCAGCUGGGAAGAUAAUGACGGUAACAGCAGAAGAAGCCCCGGCUAACUACGUG
rnacentral:rRNA from 1 species